rnacentral:rRNA from 1 species
AUUGAACGCUGGCGGCAUGCCUUACACAUGCAAGUCGAACGGUAACGCGGGGCAACCUGGCGACGAGUGGCGAACGGGUGAGUAAUGUAUCGGAACGUGCCCAGUUGUGGGGGAUAACUGCUCGAAAGAGCAGCUAAUACCGCAUACGACCUGAGGGUGAAAGCGGGGGAUCGCAAGACCUCGCGCAAUUGGAGCGGCCGAUAUCAGAUUAGGUAGUUGGUGGGGUAAAGGCUCACCAAGCCAACGAUCUGUAGCUGGUCUGAGAGGGCGACCAGCCACACUGGGACUGAGACACGGCCCAGACUCCUACGGGAGGCAGCAGUGGGGAAUUUUGGACAAUGGACGCAAGUCUGAUCCAGCCAUGCCGCGUGCGGGAAGAAGGCCUUCGGGUUGUAAACCGCUUUUGUCAGGGAAGAAACGCUCUGGGUUAAUACCUCGGGGUAAUGACGGUACCAGAAGAAUAAGCACCGGCUAACUACGUGCCAGCAGCCGCCGUAAGAC